GGGACUGUAGUGUAGUUUGGUUAUCACUGGAGGUUUGGGACUUCCUAACCGCGGUUCAAAUCCGCGCAGUCCCA
rnacentral:tRNA from 1 species